rnacentral:tRNA from 1 species
UAGAGACUAGUAUAAUUUGGAAGUACGUAAGGUUUUGGAUCUUUCGGUUUGGGUUCGUAGCCCAAGUGUCUAG